GCCAGGCAUCGGCCAAAUCUUCAGUCAAGUCAACGGUAUUUCCCGCUCAUCAAGCUUGUCUGUUACGUCGGCUUUGGGUCGGAUAACUAUACCGGAGGCCGAUGCCGCGCUUGUUUCCUUCUCUCUGUUGGUGUGUGCCCAGUUAUUCCACCCUUUGCAACCACCAGAGCAAAGGCGACAUUAUGGGUCUGCUAAGUUCCAUUAUUCCGAAGCAGAAGGGGGCAGUAAUGUACAUACGCUGGUUGCCAGCCGCCGUUAAUACUCAAGUAAGUUAGAGAAAAUGCAAUUGGGGAAAGUGAGGAAAAAUAACGGAUUAUUGGCUUGUUUUACACGUAUCAUUGUUUUGUGUUCCCCUCCUUCAUCAACCAAACAAUUCCACGUCAACUCAAACACGCAAAACCCCGGUAUGAAGCAUUGUCAUGAGCAUGCCAAACCAACAGAUGGCGAUAUAUUCCUUAACCCAGAGAAGUCACUCCAGUCUCGUCUUGCCAUGAACAAGGAAAAAGUGCGGGAGCUGACUUCACAAGCGUCCGUGGUUCAGGUCAUUGGCACUGCUGUGGCAUGUACAUCUAGGAUGCGGCCUAUCCAGAUGUGAUUCACUCCAAUGCCAGCAAACCGACAGUGGAAGACACGAGCCAGCACUUCUCCCCCCACAUUGCCUCAGGCUUUUCAGAUAACCACUUAUAACUGCUCCCCCUUCAUGAGACCGGAUGCUAUGUUGGGAUCACCGGGGCCUCCAUCGCCCGGCAUGUACACACUACAUCAGGUGUAGGUGAACAACAUCAGAGUGCGGCAGUCAGAGAUCCUAAAGAAGGACUCCAUAUGUUUAGUCGAGACAGUACACCGUACAUCUCUUAUGACGAGGAUAUUUGUGUCAGAACCGCUUUCCCGAUACUGACAAGGACAUUUAAGGUUCAAUGGACAACUUGCUUUCAAUGAAUGCAAUUAUGUGAGCUGCAGUCUGGAUCCUGCCUUUGUCAGAUGACCUAACACAAAUGGAAAGAUGACAUCGGCCCUUGCAAGGACUUCAGACGAUGCCAGCACUGGACUACAUACAGUGGUAAUCAUGGGUGCCCAAACUUGUGCAUAUCACUGUACUGAUAUAUACUAUACAAAUAAUAUUUUCAGUAGUCCGUGUCAAAUUUUAUUUCAAGGUAAGAUAGCUUUACAUGUCUUUCAUUGUGCUUUAGUGAUCACACAGGCCCUGUUUAUGUUCUUAACCGGCAUGACUUUAUUUAUUGUGAUAUACACAAAACAAGAUAUUUUGAUAAAUGAUGUUAAGUACACAGCUGCUCAUUUACUUCAAUAAAAUUUAUUUUUCCUAUUAUGGAAGUCAAUGGGUACCAUCAACUGUAUGAUAUCAUUUAUCAGAUUAAAGAAUUUUUGGCAAGUUUAUAACAACAUGGAAGCGUUUGGGUGAGAUCUAGACCGAGGACUAAGGCGUAUACUAGGACAGAACUAAGUGUUGUGGCCCACAGGUGAUCCAAAAGCAACAAAGAGGAACCAUGGAGAGGAAUAAGUGGUGUCCAGAUGUUUAAAAGGCGGCGUUCGGGACAGGAAACAAAGGCAACAAAGAGGAACCUCUAAGGUUUAAAGGCGCUGCUUGCAGAGACGAGUGUAGGAAACAAAGACAGAAGACCUGACGAGAAUGUUUUAUGAUUAAAUGUUUUUGUUAUGUACAUGCACGUUAUUAUUUACAAUAUAUUUCUAAGAUACAUAAGUAUGUGACCUUGUAUAUGAAAUCCAGGCUACUGUCUUAACAUCUAAUGACAUCUAAAGUUUGAAUUUACUGAUUUAACAUUGAGUUCAGUCUUUGGCAUGACCUUACUCAGUCAAUAUUGAAGAUGUCAAGAUUAUAUUUUCAGAGAAUGUUUUCUGUAUUGUGUAGGAUGAUUUUAUGCAGAAAACAGUAAGUCACAAAGAAAUACUUUACUGGGUUUUCACAGGCUGUGUCCCAUUUGUACAACAUAUGUGAAUUAUCUUGAGACUAAAACUUCUGAAAUCCAAACUGUUAUAUUUUAGCAUUUCAAAUGCAGCCACCCUUUGCCUAGAAUUUGAAAUGUAUACCCUUGAGUUUUUUUUCAGUAAUUUUUUUAGAUCUCACCCUGAGAUAUUUGUAAAGAAAUUUCCAUGUAUUAUGGGCUUGAAUUACUUAUUUUAUCAUUUUGUCCAAGUAAUUUGAAAAAAAAAGUUUUAAAUUAAAUUGUAGUUCUCAAUUGAAAUAAAUGUAUAUGUUGAGACAUUUUUGUCGACAAACGUAAUUGAAUCAUAUACCUUAAGAGUAUAUUAUUUUGAAGGUUAUAAGAAAUAUUUUAGUUAAGUGUUUAAAAACGUUUACACAGUAGUAUAGCAGUGUAUAAUAGUUACAGAAUAUGUAAUUUAUGUGUGACAUCUAAAUAUUAUGUUACUGAUUUAUCCAAGUUGUUUAUGUGUUAUAUUUGUCAAAUGAAUAAAUUUGCAACGGUUAUUGA